AGCUUUGAUCCAUAGAUUUCCGAAUGGGGCAACCCAAUACAUAGAGAUAUGUAUUACCUUUAAUGGAGCGAACCUAGCGAAGUGAAACAUCUCAGUAGCUAGAGGAAAAGAAAUCAAUAGAGAUUCUCCUAGUAGCGGCGAGCGAACGGGGAAAAGGGCAAACCAGUAGCUUGCUACUGGGGUUGAGGACUGCAAUAUCCACUUGAAUAAUGUAGCAGAAGUGUUUGGAAAAACACAUCAUAGAGGGUGAUAGUCCCGUAUGCGAAAUAUUAUUCAUAGGUAGCAGGAUCCAGAGUAGGCCAGGACACGUGAAAUCCGGGCUGAAGCCGGGGAGACCACUCUCCAACCCUAAAUACUACUAUCACACCGAUAGCGAACAAGUACCGUGAGGGAAAGGUGAAAAGAACCGCAGUGAGCGGAGUGAAAUAGAACCUGAAACCAUCUGCCUACAAUCAUUCGGAGCCCUAUUGUGAGUCUCUUUGAGAGUUUUUGCUAAAUUCAGCUUUUGAGUGCUUUUGGCGGAGCUUGAAAAAAUCUUGUGCGACAGCCUUUAAGGCUAGUCUCCGCGAUUUUUUCUACGCAACCACCAAAAUCAUCUCAAAAUCUUAGAAUUUUCUGUUAUUCGCAUUUUGCUAGAUUCUGAACUGCAGACUGCGAAGUAUUUUGAGGCGAUUUUAAGGGUUGUGCAGGUUUUUGUGCGGAGACUAGACUUAAGUCUGUCGCACAAACAAAAACCAAACUCCCUUAAAAGCGUCCAAAAGACAAGCAGAUUUUAAACUUUUUAAAGAGGCUCACAAGGGUGACGGACUGCCUUUUGCAUAAUGAUCCUGCGAGUUGUGGUAUCUGGCAAGGUUAAGCACACGCGAAGCCGUAGCGAAAGCGAGUCUGAAAGGGCGUAGCCACCUCUNUUAUGUCUAUUGUGAUGAGAAUCUUGUAGCAAGAAACUCACAAGCACAAAUUAGUGUAAAAAUUAGUGCAAAGAUUAGCGAUUGUAGCGGUUGGGUGAAGUAUCUNUAAGUAAAUUUAUGGGUUGCGUAGAAUGGAGUGCGGAGAUAAGCCUUAAGGGCUAUCGCACAAGCGACAUUCAAGCUCCCUUAAAUUUACCAAAGAGACAAGCCCAACAUCACACAUAGAUAUAAAUGAGGUGGCUAAAGUCAGAUGCUGCAGACCCGAAGCCAAGUGAUCUAUCCAUGGCCAAGUUGAAGCGAGUGUAAUAGCUCGUGGAGGACUGAACUCGUACCCAUUGAAACGGGUUGGGAUGAGCUGUGGAUAGGGGUGAAAGGCCAAACAAACUUGGUGAUAGCUGGUUCUCUUCGAAAUAUAUUUAGGUAUAGCCUCAAGUGAUAGUAAUAGGGGGUAGAGCUCUGAUUGGGCUAGGGCUGCUCACCGCGGUACCAACCCCUGUCAAACUGCAAAUACCUAUUACCGUAUCUUGGGAGUCAGGCGGUGGGUGAUAAAAUCAAUCGUCAAAAGGGGAACAACCCAGACUACCAACUAAGGUCCCAAAGUUCUAUUCUAAGUGGAAAAUGAUGUGAAGUUACUCAGACAACCAGGAGGUUGGCUUAGAAGCAGCCAUCCUUUAAAGAAAGCGUAACAGCUCACUGGUCUAGUGAUUUUGCGCAGAAAAUAUAACGGGGCUAAGAUAGACACCGAAGUUGUAGAUUGUGCUGAUGCACAGUGGUAGAAGAGCGUUCGUAUCAGCGUUGAAGGCAUACCGGUAAGGAGUGCUGGAGCGAUGCGAAGUGAGCAUGCAGGAAUGAGUAGCGAUAAAAGUGGUGAGAAUCCACUUCGCCGAAAGUCUAAGGUUUCCUACGCGAUGCUCGUCAUCGUAGGGUUAGUCGGGUCCUAAGACAAGUCAGAAAUGGGUAGUCGAUGGAAAAUGGGUUAAUAUUCCCAUACCAACAUUAGUGUGCGAUGGGGGGACGCAUAGGGCUAAGUAGCGUUAGCUGAUGGAAGUGCUAAUUUAAAAGCGUAGAUUGAGAGAUAGGUAAAUCCGCUCUUGUAUUCGAAACUUGAAUAGCUUGUUGCGAUCUUCGGAUCAAGAUGAGUGCUACUGACGCCGUCGUGCCAAGAAAAGCCUCUAAGUUUAGCUAAUGUUGCCCGUACCGCAAACCGACACAGGUAGAUGAGAUGAGUAUUCUAAGGCGCGUGAAAGAACUCUGGUUAAGGAACUCUGCAAACUAGCACCGUAAGUUCGCGAUAAGGUGUGCCUAAGCAAUUAGGUCUCAGCAAAGAGUCCCUCCCGACUGUUUACCAAAAACACAGCACUUUGCAAACUCGUAAGAGGAAGUAUAAGGUGUGACGCCUGCCCGGUGCUCGAAGGUUAAGAGGAUUCGUUAGCGUGUGCGCGAAGCGUUGAAUUGAAGCCCGAGUAAACGGCGGCCGUAACUAUAACGGUCCUAAGGUAGCGAAAUUCCUUGUCGGUUAAAUACCGACCUGCAUGAAUGGCGUAACGAGAUGGGAGCUGUCUCAACCAGGGAUUCAGUGAAAUUGUAGUGGAGGUGAAAAUUCCUCCUACCCGCGGCAAGACGGAAAGACCCCGUGGACCUUUACUACAGCUUGGCACUGCCGAUGGGAGCAUUAUGCGCAGGAUAGGUGGGAGGCUUUGAAAUCUUCACUCUGGUGGAGAUGGAGCCAUCCUUGAGAUACCACCCUUAAUGUUUCUGUCUGCUAACUGGCUAGAGUUAUCCUCUAGCAGGACAAUGCCUGGUGGGUAGUUUGACUGGGGCGGUCGCCUCCUAAAAAGUAACGGAGGCUUGCAAAGGUUGGCUCAUUGCGGUUGGAAAUCGCAAGUAGAGUGUAAUGGCAUAAGCCAGCCUGACUGUAAGACAAACAAGUCGAGCAGAGACGAAAGUCGGUCAUAGUGAUCCGGUGAUUCUGUGUGGAAGGGUCAUCGCUCAAAGGAUAAAAGGUACCCCGGGGAUAACAGGCUGAUCUCCCCCAAGAGCUCACAUCGACGGGGAGGUUUGGCACCUCGAUGUCGGCUCAUCGCAUCCUGGGGCUGGAGCAGGUCCCAAGGGUAUGGCUGUUCGCCAUUUAAAGCGGUACGCGAGCUGGGUUCAGAACGUCGUGAGACAGUUCGGUCCCUAUCUGCCGUGGGCGUAGGAAAGUUGAGGAGAGCUGUCCCUAGUACGAGAGGACCGGGAUGGACACGCCACUGGUGUAAGAGUUGUUCUGCCAAGAGCAUCGCUCUGUAGCUACGCGUGGAUGUGAUAACCGCUGAAAGCAUCUAAGA
rnacentral:rRNA from 1 species